CCACAAGGGGUGAAGCCUGCGGUUCAAUUGGAGUCAACGCCAGGAAACUUACCAGGAGAGACAGCAGGUUGAGGGUCAGUCUGAAGAACUUACCUGACGAGCUGAGAGGAGGUGCAUGGCCGUCGCCAGCUCGUGCCGUGAGGCGUCCUGUUAAGUCAGGCAACGAGCGAGACCCCUAUCGGUAAUUGCUAACUGCUCAGAGAUGGGCAGAGGCUAGUUACAGAGACUGCCGUUGAUAAAACGGAGGAAGGAAGGGGCCACGGCAGGUCAGUAUGCCCCGAAACUCCUGGGCCACACGCGGGCUGCAAUGGUAGGGACAAUAGGUUCCGACCUCGAAAGAGGAAGGCAAUCCCCAAACCCUACCCCAGUUGUGAUCGAGGAUUGAAACCCGUCCUCGUGAAUAUGGAAUCCCUAGUAACCGCGUGUCAUCACCGCGCGGUGAAUACGUCCCUGCUCCUUGC
rnacentral:rRNA from 1 species